AGCGGCGGAGCCUCUGCGGAGCCGGGCUUGCGCUUUCCCUGCCAGCCCAGUUUCCAGCUUAAAUCAUGGCCCUAAUGUUACGUUAAUGUGCUUUGGGGCCCUAGUGAGUAGAGUGGGUGGCAGGGGAGCAGCAGUUCAUUUCCUUUGGAGUUUGGAACGUCCCUGACACUGCGCAGGUCCUCGGUGAGAGGGAUCCUGGCAGCUGGGAGCACCUUUGGGGACCUCCUCCUGAGUCAGCGCCCUUCCUGGCAAAGUUACAUUCUUGCUAGGGACAGGAAGAAAGGAAGUGGACACCUAGGAGACAGCUCACACAUGCCAUGCGUGUUUCGGUCGUCAUAGUAUGGGGUCUUUACAGUGACCUCGUGGGGGCAGGUUUGCUGCUCGUGCCCAGAUUCCGAAGGACUGUUGAGGGUCAGCAAUUCGCCUGCGGGGCUCAGCAGGUCGGUGGCCGGUAACCUUGCUGUUUGUGCUGUGAAUAGAUCCUGGGCUCUGGUGUCCUGGGAGGGCUCUUGCGAAGGGGUCCUCACGUAGUUCCACCUGAAGCUUUCCAAGGGCAUAACCGAAUCCUGUCCCUAAAGGCACUAUGCCGAAGGCAGGUAUGGCCGCGUGCACUGAAUUCAGCUCGGUGAGACGGUGGGACGCACCACGAGGGAAAACAUGUCCUUGUCACUGGCUGGCACAGAGGGCUGUGUCUACAUCAGGUAAAUAAACGGAAGAGAGCAACUGUCCGGUGAGUUGUGGCUGAAGAUAAACUUUUCCGUUACCAGAGGAGGGCUGGCUUGACAAGAACACACCAGGAUGGAAGCCUGGCAGAGAAAUACCAGUCAGUACUCCAGAAAUUCAGCGGCAGGGGAAAAACACAGGGACCUGCUGUAGUCCCCGGUGUCACAGAACGCGGCCCAGUGCCUGUGCCAGGAAGCUCUCCAUAGAUGCUGACUCAAACUUUAAUGACGUUUUAAAAGUUCAGUCUUCUGAAAGGGUCCUGAUGCCAUGAUCCACCCCCAGCCAUGACCAGCCCCAGAUCACCCACUCGGUGAGGUCUUUGGAUAGAACUGGAACCUUCCCACAUGGGUCAACCUCACAGAGCAUCAUGCAUUUUACCCCUGCACCACCUUCUGGCCCCAGAUGAUGGUUUGGAAAAUGCUGAUGGAGCAGCUGUGCCUCUUAGGCUCCCUGGAGCCGAAGUGACUCUUGGGUUGAUUUGAUGCAGUCUGCUCUCCCUGUGAAAGCCUGAAAUAAGAAACCAAACCUUAGACACACACCAAAUCAGUUUAUUGUCUUCCCAGUUACUGACAGAGUAGGGAGCUGUUUCCUGUUAGCUCCUCAGUUGCGGAAGGCGCUGCAUUGGGUGAUCUAUUCGGGAGCCAUUUUGAGAGCUGUCUGCUAUCUUAAGCUAUUUGCCAUCUUAGAAACCUUUGGUUUUCACUUCCCCAUCCAGCAAAACUUUUUCUCAGAAAUCACAUGACCAGCCAAAGGGCGGAUAGGUUUCUAGGCAAGGAGAGGAAGUUUCUUAACGCCCCGUUGUUGCCUGGAGGCCUGUUUUCAUUUACGGGUCACUCAUCUAUUGGUUCCCUCUGAAUCCUCAUGCUGAUUGGUCAACUUGCGGGACACUUGCUGAUUGGCCGAACUAGAAUGCCUCAUUUACAUUUAGGGCAGCUUCCUGGACACAAAUGAUUGGUCCAUACUGUGAUACCUUAUUUGCAUUUUGGGCACCAAUCAAUGCCCACCAGCAUGUAUAUAAUUGCAGUCUGUGCUACAAUAAAUGAGUCUUGACCAGUA